rnacentral:lncRNA from 1 species
AAGACUGAGAAACCACACAGGCGAUAAGCCGACUGGGCUCCGAAAGGUCCAAUCUCAUGAAGUGACUGGCUAAGGCCUGAACAUCCAUUGCCAUGGGUCUCUCUGAAGCUGGUAAAUAUGCCAAACUCCCCAAACUCUCCGCCCGGCAACUCAAGUCAUCAGCUACCACAUUGGCCUUGCUAGAGUGAUAAAGAGUAGUAAUAUCAUUAUCCUUCAGUAGCUCCAACCAUCUUCUCUG